rnacentral:tRNA from 1 species
GCCGGAGUAGCUCAGCUGGUAGAGCAGCUGAUUUGUAAUCAGCAGGCCAGGGGUUCGAGUCCCCUCUCCGGCU